UACAGAGGGGGCAAGCGUUGUUCGGAAUUACUGGGCGUAAAGCGCACGUAGGCGGCUUUGUAAGUUAGAGGUGAAAGCCCGGAGCUCAACUCCGGAACUGCCUUUAAGACUGCAUCGCUUGAACGUCGGAGAGGUAAGUGGAAUUCCGAGUGUAGAGGUGAAAUUCGUAGAUAUUCGGAAGAACACCAGUGGCGAAGGCGACUUACUGGACGACUGUUGACGCUGAGGUGCGAAAGCGUGGGGAGCAAACAGG
rnacentral:rRNA from 1 species